GUCCCUAUCGUCUAGAGGCCUAGGACAUCGCCCUUUCACUGCGGUAACCGGGGUUCGAAUCCCCGUAGGGACGCCA
rnacentral:tRNA from 2 species